CGAAAUGAUAAAUUUAACUUUCAUUUCAAAAUACAUAAUUUCACGCAGGAAAACGGCUGCGGGGUCAGCUAGUAUAUUUAUAUAUAUUUAAGAGAUCUUUAAAAUGGGAGCUAAUCUUAGGAUUUGCUUCCCGUUGCUAAAGCUAACGAAAUUUAAAAAACUUCAGUUUUUAGUAUCGCUCAACUUUGCAGUUUGUUUUUACCGACUGCGCCAGUUUUAGUUGUUCGAGCGGAGGAAUAAAAAUGCCGACGAUAUUACUUCUGUGACAUUAUGCUUUAUUCUCUUCCUUUUUCAAAUUAUGUUCUGCUUAUUUAACUACUAAAGUGAUUACAAUUUUCUUAAUCUAUUUCUUUGUUUUUUUAUUUUCUUAUGAAAUACAAUAUUUGUUAAAUGUAAUCUUAACCGAUGAGUCGACGUUGCGAGUUUUCGAGAGAAAAGUUCUGCGAAAGAUGUAUGGUCCUUUGCGCGUUGGCCACAGCGAAUAUCGCAUUCGAUGGAACGAUGAGCUGUACGAGAUAUACGACGACAUUGACAUAGUUCAGCGAAUUAAAAGACAGCGGCUACGCUGGCUGUGUCAUGUUGUCCGGAUGGAUGAAAACACUCCAGCUCUGAAAGUAUUCGACGCAGUACCCGCCGGAAGCAGAGGAAGAGGAAGACCUCCACUCCGUUGGAAGGACCAAGUGGAGAAGGACCUGGCUUCGCUUGGAAUAUCCAAUUGGCGCCACGUAGCGAAGAGAAGAAACGACUGGCGCGCUGUUCUUGACUUGGCUAUAAUCGCGUAAACGGUGUCUAUGCUAGUAAAGAAGAAGAAGAAUCUUAUUUUCUAUUGAAUGCAAACAAACAUGAUUGUGUGGUUUACCCGAUAAUGUCUGGGUUAUCAUUACAGUCAAACAUAAGGACCAAAACAUGUUUGUAUGCAUUUGCAUUAUGUUCUUUAUCUCUACUUGUUAUCUUAUUUUUUGUAAUGUUUACUUGUUUUUCUUUGAUCUUUUAUUUUGUCCAAUUUGCAAUAUUUUGUUGGGUGGUGUCUGGUUGGGAUGAUAGUGUACACAUAACUUGAGCGACAAUGGCAAGACAUUUAUCGGAGCUCAAAGAGCCACAGAAAAACAGUUCGUGGACUUCAUCAAACAAGUUUUACCUGAGAUUGUACAAAAGUACGCUCCCCAAGGCAUUAACUGGCAGUUCAUCCUUCCAAGCGCUCCUCAUAUGGGUGGUUUAUGGGAAUCAGCGGUAAAAAGCUUUAAAUCGCACUUUAAAAAAGUAGCUGGAAACUACAAUUUUAACUUUGAAGAAUUUACAACAUUACUAAUUCGUAUUGAAGCCAUUCUCAAUUCGCGGUCAUUGGCGACACUCUCGCAAGAUCCCUUAGAUCUAACAGCUCUUACACCAGGCACUUUCUCAAAGGAGCACCCAUUCUGGCCAUACCUGAGCCAAGCGUGGAGUCGCUUUCCUUACUAAAUAGAUGAGAAAGAAUUAAAAUUCUCCAUCAUGAUUUCAGCCGCCGAUGAAAGGAGGAGUAUAUAACCGUCACAAAAGGUACCGCUGGAAAACUCCCGAAAAGGCGCCAAAGCUUGAAGAUUUGGUCCUAAUACAUGACGACUGUCUCCCCCCUACAGAAUGGCGGCUUGGUCGCAUAGAGAAGCUACAUCACUGCUCCGACGGUCACAUACGAGUAGUUGACCUCCGUACUCAAAACGGAACUCUAACGAGACCGCUCGUGAGACUAUGCUUCUUACCAACCGCAGAUAAUAACGAAAAUUCACAUAAUAAACAAUCCGUACAAUAAUACCGACAAGCAGAAGUUAAAAAAUUCGUCUAAUAAAUAAAACCGAAAUCACUCGCACAUAUAAUAUGAUCAGUGUGACCAUUUUAGCAUUUUUGCAGCUAAAUUUAGCUUUUUUUUGUAUUUGGCCGCAAAAUUUUCAUUUAGCAUUUAGCAUUUUUCUUAGCUUUUUGCGAUUAUUAGUUUAGCAUUUUUUAGCAUUAUUCUAUCCAAAAACUUUCAAAUGUUUUAUUACUUUUUUGUAUAAAUAAAAUCUGAUAAUUUUUAGUUGACUACUCAAUUAUACAUAUAACCAUGGCAACCAUUUGCGUGGUGAUUAAAAAAUAAAAUCUGGCAUCACAGCUCAAUAGAACAGCUGUGUUUUCAUUCAUCUCUAAUAAAACAAAAAAUAGCAAUUUGUUUAACAUAGACAAUGGAAAGGUAUCUUAAAAGAAGUGACCCAAAUGAUUUAGAUAUUGACGAAGUUAGCAGUGACUCCGAAGAAAACACGUGCCGGCCCAGCACCAGUAAAAGAAAAUAUAUCCAAAGAACCAGAAAAAGCUGGUUUAAUGAUCCGAGAGUAUGCAAGUGGAUUGUCGAGCUAAAUGAUCAGGAGGUAAAGUGUAAAUACUGCCAUUGUACUUUAAAACCAAAACUAAGUACACUACUUACUCAUGGAAAGCAUUUAGCAGCAGCAUCGCUUUUCACAAAAAACAAUCAAAAAAUACUCGAUUUUCACUUACUAAACAGCAAUUCCAAAGUAAAAGCAGCAGAAUUAUUAGAAGCCUUAUAUGUGGCGGUACACACUACGAUAAGGUCAGCCGAUCAUUUAGUCCGUUUACAAAAAUAUAUAUUUAUUGAAGGCAAGGUCGCCGUUGGCAUGACAUUGGGUCGAACAAAGUGUACUGCCCUCAUCAAGUCAGUUUUGGCUCCCCAUUUUCAACACCUAUUGGCUGAAGAUAUUAGUGACAACUUUUUCAGUCUGAUUAUAGACGAAUCUACAGACAUAACUAUUGAUAAAUAUUUGGGUAUAGUAAUACAUUAUUACAGUAAGUCUGCCAAACAAAUUGUAAACACAUUUUUAAACCUAAGUGCAUUUGAUGACGCGUCAGCCAAUGGAAUACGCAAAGCCAUUUUUGAAGUUAUUAAGGAUUUUAAUCUAAAAAUUCAAAACAUGGUGGGUUUAGGAACUGAUAAUGCCAGAGUAAUGACUGGAGUUAACCGUGGAGUGCUAGCAAAACUACGUGAAAAAAAUAAAAACAUAAUAUAUACUAUGUAGUUCCCUGUAUCUGUCAUUCUAUUCAGCUUUCAGUGUCUUCAGCAUCCAAAAUGUUGGUUUUCCAAAUCAACUUUAAGACACAAACAUUAUAAAAGCAUUUACGCUGCGAUUAAUGAUGGCAUACAACCAUUAAAAUUGGAAAGAGCUUGUGACACUAAAUGGUUAUCAAUUGAAUCAGCUGUAAAUCGUAUAGAAAGUCAAUGGCUAGAGUUGAAAACUCAUUUUGAAACUGCCGCAACGGUAGAAUCGUGUCAUCAAGCCAAUAUAUUAAAAAAAUUGUACACUGACAAAAAUUUAUUAUAUCUGAAGUUUUUGAAACCUUUGCUGUCAGAUGUACAAAAAGAAAAUAAAAUGUUUGAAAGUAAUAAUGCUGACCUUAUUCUGUUGCCAUCAGAACUAUGUAUAUGUUCUUUUGAAACACCUUUCCUAUCAAAUUGUUUUAAAAUCUGACACUUUUGAUCCGUUCAAUUCGCGUUUAGAAGAUUUUUUUGUUCCAACACCAUACUUUAAUUACAAUUUUGAAGAAUUUUUAAAAUCAAAGAAAGAUGUAAUCAAUUCUGAAGAAGAAAAUGAAAUAAGAGCUACUUGUCGAAAGUUUAUAGCUCAGUUAAUGUAUCAGCUUAGACAACGAUUGCCAGCAAAUUUUCUAAAUCUUAAAAAUACAAAUUUUUUUUCUGAAGAAAACAGUUUAAAAACGAAAAAAUUUAAAUUGCAUGAACAUUUUGAACAACAAAUGGAAGAUUUCACAGUGGACAGUGAAAUAGUAAUUUCUAUUUUAGAAAAGCAAUGGCAAAAGCUAAGUACAUAUGAAUGGGCAAACAAAAACUCAACAAUUGAUUUCUGGAUAAGUGUAUACGAAUAUAAAAAUGCUUUAAAUGAAAACCCGUUCCAGGAAUUGUCUUCUUUUGUUAUAAAGUUUCUAGUUUUACCAUUUAGUAACGCAGAAGUUGAAAGAGUUUUCAGGGGCAUGAACCUUAUAAAAACAAAAAUUAGAAAUAGAAUGAUAUUGAACACUAUGAAUUCACUUCUUUACAUUAGAUGCGGAUUGAAAAGGUUAAAUAAAUGUUGCGAAAGUUUUAAAAUUACCAACGAUCUCAUACAAAAAUGUGAUAAAAACAUGUAUGAUAAUGAUAAUUUGACCGACUCUUCGGAAGUUGAGGACCAAUAUUCAUUUGAUAAUGUAUUUAGUUUAUAAUUAAAAUGUAUCAUUUGUAAACAAAUGAUAUUUAAAAAUAUACUGAAAUGCUAUUAAAUAGCGAUGUAAAUGUUUAUGUUAUUUUUUUUAUGUAAAUAUACUUAUACAUAUGUAUGUAUGUACAAACCAAUGUGAUAUUGAAUUGAAUGAUCACUUUUUCUUUUAUGUUAGUAAGACUCUUUAUGAUUCUUUUUUGUUCAAUAAAUAGUUUUUUUUGUUGUUUGCCAUGGCUCAACAAUACAUGGUUGAAUUACUACAUGACAUUGUUUUAUUCUAAUGAUAUAUAUUUCUAAGGCAACAAUGAAUACACAAAUUUUAAAAAAUUAACGCUUUAUAGUGAUCAUUUUAUGUAAAAAACGUUUUUAUAUUUAGCAUUAUUUUUUGGCAUUUUAAUAUUUUUUUAGCAUUUUUUAGCAUUAUUUUAAUGCUGAUUUAGCUGCAACACUUUUUUAGAUCUGGUCACACUGAGUAUGAUAAAUCAUAAAGAUACUACAAAACAAUGGGUAGAUUACUAAACUCUGACAAACCACAUAAAGUUGGUUACAAAACGCACAAUUUCAUAAUAUAAUAUAUAGAAAUGAGUUGCAACUAAACACGACUUUUUCUCCAUACAGGAAAACAUGGAUUCAGAAAACAUGUCAACUCCAACGCCAACACUGCGAUCGGCCAUCAGUGUGCCCCGUCCUGAGGUUGCCCCAACACCGGCGCCCCGAACAACCACUGCAACAACGCCGUCAACUUCAGCUCGUAGUAUCUUACGAGCACCAACAACAACACCGUCAUCACCAGCGAUGCCCCUUCGCUUAUGAUGCCCCCUUUGUCGCCGCCCCCACCGACUGCAAUACUGUGGGCUCUUCAAAGGCUUGUCACCAAUUUAACGCCAGCAGAUUGUACGGGCGCAUGGGCAUUACCACAAUUGUCUGGCACCCACGCAUGCAACUCAUGACUGUAACUCAGGGGCUUUGUGCCACAUCUGUGGCAGGCAUCAUCACACGCUGCUCCACCGCACCCUGAGACGUGAGGUCGGUCGGCCACCUGCCCCGCGCAGCCGCGGCACAACCAGACCGCAGCAAACCAGUCGUAAGGCACGUCGGAGAAGACCGGCACCUCCCCCUGAGUCCCGUCUAGGGUGUCAGCGGCAUACAACAUCGACAAGGCGUCAUCAAAGGCCGCAUCAUCGACGUGCUUCCGGUCUCAGCAACGUUUUGGUAACGUUGCAGCAGCUUCAGCGAUUGCUUGGCUGAAUAUUCGCCUAGGGGGGCCGGGAUGGCUUAAUGAGUUAAGCUUCCCGCCCUCACGCGCCACUAUACCACACAACACACCACUCACAAGCAACAUUGGCACAUACACCACACCUGAAGACAGCAGUUUCCCCACACACCACACAUCCAUUGGAAGCAGCAGAAAACACCACACACACACACCAAUACAUGCAGCAACCAAUCCACCACCGCCCAACGAGAAAAAAGCUUCGUCCUGGAAAUGUACACACUACUUCGAUCACGAAUUUCGAUUAGAAAACCUCGGCGGACGUUCUACCUUUUUCGUAUUUUCGGCAAGCAGAUCAACCAUCUGUUUUGGUAUUUCUCCGUAUUUUGGUCGGCAGCUCAACCAUCUUGUUACGUCUGAUGAUCUUCGGCGCGCAGCAGUUCAACCGAUAUUAUCACAUUUUCGAGUUUUCUUAUUUUAUAAUUUCAUAAACCUACAACCUCCACUGGUAUCCGGCCAGGGAGUACAUCAAUUUCAUUUUUUCUUACAAACAUACAUUGUCAAGCCUCCACUGGUAUCCGACCAGGGAGAAUUUUAUUAUUCGAGUAACAAUUAUCAGCCUUCAAUAAAAUUGUAAUCUGUUUUUAAGUAAAACAUUGCGUUCUGAAACCUUCUUUCCAGAGUAAGUGGUAAAUUAUAUAGGUAUGAACGAGCUUUAUUAGAGCAGGUAUGAAAGUUGGACCCUGGGCAGGCACCUCCCCCUUUUUGUGAAAUCACAUACAUAUCUCGUGACUCUACUAUCCGUUUUCAAUUAAAUUUAGUAUACAGCAUUCUUUUCAUAUUACUUUGUUACAGUGAAAAAACUUACCCUUUCACUUUCCGGUACACAAAUCAAGAAAUAUUAGGAGUAUACAAGUAUAUAAAAAUGAAACGCCUUUUUUGUAUGUCCGCGCAUUACAUCCAAACCACAGCACCGAAAGACGUGAAAAUUUGCACGGGUAUUUUUUUGAUUCUGGAGAAGGUUCUAACCUGUUUGCAAAAUCACCCUCUAUUUCGCAAUUUAUGUGUAUAUUUAUAACUCAAGAACGGCUAAAACGAUUUGGCUGAAAAUGGUUGAAGAGGUAGCUUGGAAUAUCGGGACGGGUUUAUCGCUUUAAGUUAAAAGCCAAAACAAUUCAUAAAGAAAAAAAUAUAUAUUUUGAAACAUAAGCAUUUGUUUUCAAUAUUCAAGCAAGAAUCAUUUGAAUAUUUUAAUACAUCAAAAAAAAAAAAUAAAAUAACACCACACAGUUGCUGGCAGGGUACAGUGGUUUUUGUUUACAUACACACAUUGGGUUGUCAAAAAAGUAUUGCGGUAUUUUCGCUAGUUGGUGCUAACACGUGUUUGAUUGAUUGUCGUUUCUUUUAAGUCGUUCGUGAGUUAUAGCGUCGCAAACAUGGAGCAAAAUAAAGAGAAAAUACGUCAUAUUUUACAGUACUACUACGAUAAAGGCAAAAAUGCAUCUCAAGCCGCCAAUAAAAUUUGUGCAGUUUAUGGACCCGAUUCAGUUUCCAUUUCCACCGCACAACGAUGGUUUCAACGUUUUCGUUCUGGUGUAGAGGUGGUCGAAGAUGCGCCAUGCUCGGGAGGACCUGUCGUCGAAAAUUGUGAUAAAAUCCGUAGCCGUAGCAUCGGUCAAGAGCUGGGAAUAAGUCAUCAAAAAUUCAUUUCAAUUUCAAUAAAAAAAAUUCAAUAAAAAUACCGCAAAACUUUUUUGACAACCCAAUAUAUAAUAUUAUACAUGAAAUUAGUGAUAGUUGUAACUGAACAAGAAAAUGUUUAAUCAUAAUUUGAGAUGAGUGCAUAAUAGUUGUUUGAAAUUAUAUAUCAAACUGUUUGAUUUGUAAGAUCAAACUUAAACUCAACAAAGAUUUUAGUAAUCCUUACCACUGGUGGGGGGAAUUAAAAAACGUCUUUAGUCGAGCUGAGAAUAUUUCAUUCUGGUUUUAUUUAGUAAUUUGGAAACCUUAUAUACUAUUUUUCAAAAUAUCCUAAAUAACUAAAUAUAUAUGUAUGUGUGUAUGUUCAUAUGUAUGUAGCAUAUUGUUUAUGCUACAUGAUAUGGUAUUGCUUUCAAGUGUACAUGUUGUGUGACCUUGGGUUUGUUUUAAUGUGAGUACAUUUACAAGCAGUUGCUACAAUGUAUUCUAAGAACCCAUGGGUUAUCAUAUGUAAACAUCUUAUCCUUAGUACUAUUUGUGUUAUUGUUUGUUGAAUGCUAUUGUUUUGCAUGACAAUGCAUUUUAAGUAUUUUAUGUAUAUGUGUAUGUAUGUAUGUUCAAUAUAUUUGAACAUAGAUAUCUAAUAUUAGUGGACUGUAUCAAUAGUAAGAUUUAAUAAUUGUGAAAUAUAUAAAAGUUUGUAAAUAUAAUGUUGUUGUCCGUCCUUUGGCAGCAGCGAACAUGUUCAAUUUUGAACAAUAGUUGACAAAUAUUCCUGAACCAUUGCAGAUAAUAAUGCAAUAUUUAAAAGGAACGAUUAAGUUAAUGCAGUAUAUUGACUUAAGCGGUCGAUUUUGCAAUUACAUUGGAUAAAUGUUGAACAAAACAUUACCAUACAAGUACGACAAAUGAUAUGCUUGACAACGAGGAGCGAGCUGAGCCGCGACUUAAGUCUAGUAAUCAAUAUAAAGGAAUACAAUUUUGCACUAAUACUUCCACCACCACCUUAUGACAAAAAAUUGUCUAAAUCCAACCAAAACUGUUCAAGCCCCUAGGUACCGAAUAUGUGAACCCCAGUAUCUUUGUUGACUUUUGGCCGAAAAUAUCAGUCAAUGUAUGAUAUUUACAAUUGAAAUUCAGAGAUAAUCCUUUCCUGACAAGUAAUUCUGUGUACCAAAAAUUGGUUGAAUGGGGUCAGUAUUUCCAUGAGCCCCUAUAUAACUAUUAUGAGGAUUGUCGAACAUCCGGCUGAAUAUACUUCAUAUGAUUGGUGAAUGUAUGUGAGGUACAUCAACAAAUCUCAUGCCAAAUAAAAUAUAUCGUCACCUGAAAUGCAAAAUAACGUAUCAUCAAAAAAUUCGAAACUGAGUAUCUUAUUGAUACGAUUUACCACUCACCCAUAUUAAAUUUGUCCUACAUUUUCAGGCUCUGCGCUCAUAUAUGAAUCAGUUUUAACCAAUAUUAAAACUUUUUUUCACUCUUGUACCAUUUUAAUUCGUGUUUCAUUCACGACACUGUAAAUUUUCGAAAAUGUUGUUACGUUAUUUUGCAUUUUAGGUGACGAUAUGUUUAAAUAAAACUGCUUAGCAGCGUUCACAAUGACGACGUCGUACCCAUUUUUCAAUAGCGCCCUGAUAGUUCCUGAAUUAAAAGAAGCUUCAUAACCGCAGUAAGUUUUCUUGGUCGGUGAGAAUAAAUUCAACAGCUGAAUAAUAGGAUUUGUUAAUUAGAAUUUUGACAGUUGAAAAUGUGGAGUAUUUCUCGAGUGUAUGAUGGAAUUGGUGCAUAUCUUGGAAUUUAUUACUAUUUCGUUGGCCAACUACGUUAAUUUUGGAAAAUAAUAUUCGAGCUGCUUAUUGCAAUGUCACAAUUUGCUUCCGGGAAAUGUAGCACCAAAUCAUGUUGUAUAAGUUAACACAUUAGUCUGCUCACUGUACUGUUCUUAGAACUACUCCACGUCAGCCAGUAAGCGCGGGAAUAGUCCGCGUCAGCGCUUUCCCAUCAACUUGCAAAUUUCGCUUCAACAACAUAAGCGCAGUAACAGCGAUGCACCUGCUGUCUAAACAACGAAAGCAGGUGCAGUAGAAACAAUAAUGCCAAAAUUUUGUCAAGAGUAUGGAAAUCAAGCAGGGCUUCUAUUUUUAGGUUUCAGUUCUAAUUUGGAUUAUGUAAGUACUCAGUGAUCAAUAUAAAAAAUGAAGAAAGAAAAAAACUAAAUAAACAAAAAAUUUAUUGAAAUUACUUUUUAAAAAAUAACGCAUAGCGCUAAAUUAGUAAAUCUUCCAAAGUGCAAACAAAAUUUUUAAAGUGGCCCAUAAGGCUUAAUUGUUUAAGUGUGUUUAAAUAGCCAUUAAGAAAGUGAACUAAAAAAUUAAGUAAAAUAAAAUCGUUGGUUCAAUCACAAAUAAAUAGUAAAGGAUUAAACAAAGUAGUCAGUUUAUGAAUGACAUCAAAACUAAUGCGGAGACAUUACGAGUAGUGGGGACAGUUGCCGUCACUGCGGAGAAAGGAGUAGGAAUACAAUAAGACAGCUGACAGGUCGCUUAGACAGAAAGAAUAAGAGUUUUAGAGACUCCAUUAGAAGUGGAAGAGUACAAUGCAGUAACCAUAGACCCGACACUUUGGCGUGAUGAAUCUCUUGAAAAUAAUUAAAUAUCUGCCUGAAUUCACUGGCCAAAGAUCAAGGUGCGUUAGAUGGAGGCAAGCUGCAUUUGCUGCCUAUAAAUUGUUUGAGAACUACAAAAAAAGUUCAAAACGCUACCAAGUGGAGAAAGUAAAAGAAGAAGAAGUAGUUGCGAUAACCCCUAUGGAGGUUGAUCCAUACUCUUUCGAACUACAUGCAAGUAUAAUAAGGUAUUAUAAUCCCAAUUGGAGAGCUGAGCGGGAUUCUCAGAGAACCCGAAAAGCUUCCCACUUUAGUCAAACGACGGCGGCCUAUAAUAAUGC